UUAGCGGCGGACGGGUGAGUAACGCGUGGGUAACCUGCCUUACACUGGGGGAUAACAGUUAGAAAUGACUGCUAAUACCGCAUAAGCGCACAGGGCCGCAUGGUCCGGUGUGAAAAACUCCGGUGGUGUAAGAUGGACCCGCGUCUGAUUAGGUAGUUGGUGGGGUAACGGCCCACCAAGCCGACGAUCAGUAGCCGACCUGAGAGGGUGACCGGCCACAUUGGGACUGAGACACGGCCCAA
rnacentral:rRNA from 1 species